UACGUAGGUGGCAAGCGUUGUCCGGAUUUAUUGGGUUUAAAGGGUGCGUAGGCGGCUUAUUAAGUCAGUGGUGAAAUACUCUAGCUCAACUAGAGGGGUGCCAUUGAUACUGAUGAGCUUGAGUACAGAUGAGGUAGGCGGAAUUGACGGUGUAGCGGUGAAAUGCUUAGAUAUCGUCAAGAACACCUAUAGCGAAGGCAGCUUACUAGGCUGUAACUGACGCUGAGGCACGAAAGUGUUGGGAUCAAACAGG
rnacentral:rRNA from 1 species